rnacentral:rRNA from 1 species
UGGGGAAUUUUGGACAAUGGGCGCAAGCCUGAUCCAGCCAUUCCGCGUGCAGGACGAAGGCCUUCGGGUUGUAAACUGCUUUUGUACGGAACGAAAAGCCCUUCUCUAAUACAGAGGGGUCAUGACGGUACCGUAAGAAUAAGCACCGGCUAACUACGUGCCAGCAGCCGCGGUAAUACGUAGGGUGCAAGCGUUAAUCGGAAUUACUGGGCGUAAAGCGUGCGCAGGCGGUUAUGCAAGACAGAUGUGAAAUCCCCGGGCUCAACCUGGGAACUGCAUUUGUGACUGCAUAGCUGGAGUGCGGCAGAGGGGGAUGGAAUUCCGCGUGUAGCAGUGAAAUGCGUAGAUAUGCGGAGGAACACCGAUGGCGAAGGCGGCUACCUGGACCAGCACUGACACUGAGUCACGAAAGCGUGGGGAGCAAACA